rnacentral:rRNA from 1 species
AUUGAACGCUGGCGGCAUGCCUUACGCAUGCAAGUCGAACGGUAACGGGCCUUCGGGUGCCGACGAGUGGCGAACGGGUGAGUAAUGCAUCGGAACGUACCUUUCAGUGGGGGAUAACGUAGCGAAAGUUACGCUAAUACCGCAUAUUCUGUGAGCAGGAAAGCAGGGGAUCGCAAGACCUUGCGCUGAUUGAGCGGCCGAUGUCAGAUUAGCUAGUUGGUGAGGUAAAGGCUCACCAAGGCGACGAUCUGUAGCGGGUCUGAGAGGAUGAUCCGCCACACUGGAACUGAGACACGGUCCAGACUCCUACGGGAGGCAGCAGUGGGGAAUUUUGGACGAAUGGGGGCAACCCUGAUCCAGCCAUGCCGCGUGAGUGAAGAAGGCC